AUGGCGACCACCUCGCGUCUCCUGCUCCUCCUCGCUGCCGUCUGCCUCCUCGCCGGCGCGGCGGACGCGCUCCGGCUGCCCCCGGACGCCAGCUUCCCGGGCGCGCAGGCGGAGCGCCUCAUCCGCGCGCUCAACCUGCUCCCCGGGGCGUCCUCCGGCCGCGGCGGCAAGGUCGGUGCGGGGGCAGAGGACGUCGCGCCCGGGCAGCUGCUGGAGCGGCGGGUCACGCUCCCCGGGCUCCCCGAGGGCGUCAGCGACCUCGGCCACCACGCCGGUUACUACCGCCUCCCCAACACCCACGACGCCAGGAUGUUCUACUUCUUCUUCGAGUCGCGGGGCAAGAAGGAGGAGCCCGUGGUGAUCUGGCUCACCGGCGGCCCCGGCUGCAGCAGCGAGCUCGCCGUCUUCUACGAGAACGGGCCCUUCGCCAUCGCCAACAACAUGUCCCUCGUCUGGAACAAGUUCGGAUGGGACAAGAUCUCGAACAUCAUAUUCGUUGAUCAGCCCACCGGGACUGGGUUCAGCUACAGCUCCGACGACCGCGAUACCCGUCACGACGAGGCAGGGGUCAGCAACGACCUGUAUGACUUUCUCCAGGUCUUCUUCAAGAAGCACCCGGAGUUUGUAAAGAACGACUUCUUUAUAACUGGAGAGUCCUAUGCUGGGCACUACAUUCCAGCAUUUGCAAGCCGAGUUCACCAGGGAAACAAGAAAAAUGAGGGCACUCACAUAAACUUGAAGGGAUUUGCGAUCGGUAAUGGUCUCACAGAUCCAGCAAUCCAAUACAAAGCCUACACAGACUAUGCAUUGGACAUGAACCUUAUUCAGAAAGCUGACUAUGACAGGAUCAACAAAUUCAUCCCACCAUGUGAAUUUGCAAUCAAACUUUGUGGUACAGAUGGGAAAGCAUCUUGCAUGGCAGCAUAUAUGGUCUGCAAUACCAUCUUCAACUCUAUCAUGAAGCUUGUUGGUACAAAGAAUUAUUACGACGUUAGGAAGGAGUGCGAAGGGAAACUCUGCUACGACUUCUCAAACUUGGAGAAGUUCUUCGGCGAUAAAGCAGUCAGACAGGCGAUUGGAGUGGGUGACAUUGAAUUCGUCUCAUGCAGCACUUCAGUUUAUCAAGCAAUGCUCACAGACUGGAUGAGGAACUUGGAAGUCGGCAUCCCAGCUCUACUUGAGGAUGGGAUCAAUGUGCUCAUAUAUGCUGGGGAAUAUGACCUUAUAUGCAAUUGGCUCGGAAACUCAAGGUGGGUCCACUCCAUGGAAUGGUCUGGUCAGAAAGACUUUGCCAAAACUGCUGAAUCAUCGUUUUUAGUAGACGAUGCCCAAGCUGGAGUCUUGAAGAGCCACGGGGCACUCAGCUUCCUCAAGGUUCACAAUGCUGGCCACAUGGUUCCGAUGGACCAACCGAAGGCCGCCCUUGAAAUGCUGAGGAGAUUCACCCAGGGGAAACUCAAGGAGGCGGUUCCUGAAGAAGAGUCAUCUACGACCACGUUUUACACCGCGAUGUGA
rnacentral:rRNA from 1 species